CCUACGGGCGGCUGCAGUGAGGAAUUUUGGUCAAUGGACGCAAGUCUGAACCAGCCAUGUCGCGUGAAGGAGGACGGCCCUAAGGGUUGUAAACUUCUUUUGCAGUGGAAUAAAGUUUGCCACGUGUUGGCGAUUUGCAAGUACGCUGCGAAUAAGGAUCGGCUAACUCCGUGCCAGCAGCCGCGGUAAUACGGAGGAUCCAGGCGUUAUCCGGAUUUAUUGGGUUUAAAGGGUGCGCAGGCGGGGAAUUAGGUCGGCGGUGAAAUUUCGGGGCUCAACCUCGACAGUGCCGUUGAAACCGUUUCUCUUGAGUGCGGAUGAGGUAGGCGGAAUUUGUGGUGUAGCGGUGAAAUGCGUAGAUAUCACAAGGAACACCGAUUGCGGAGGCAGCUUACUAAACCGUUACUGACGCUCAUGCACGAAGGCGUGGGGAUCAAACAGGAUUAGAUACCCCAGUAGUC
rnacentral:rRNA from 1 species